rnacentral:rRNA from 1 species
AGUGAACGCUGGCGGUAUGCCUAACACAUGCAAGUCGAACGGCAGCACAGUAAGAGCUUGCUCUUACGGUUGGCGAGUGGCGGACGGGUGAGGAAUACAUCGGAAUCUACUUUUUCGUGGGGGAUAACGUAGGGAAACUUACGCUAAUACCGCAUACGACCUACGGGUGAAAGCAGUGGAUCUUCGGACCUUGCGCGAUUGAAUGAGCCGAUGUCGGAUUAGCUAGUUGGCGGGGUAAAGGCCCACCAAGGCGACGAUCCGUAGCUGGUCUGAGAGGAUGAUCAGCCACACUGGAACUGAGACACGGUCCAGACUCCUACGGGAGGCAGCAGUGGGGAAUAUUGGACAAUGGGCGCAAGCCUGAUCCAGCAAUACCGCGUGGGUGAAGAAGGCCUUCGGGUUGUAAAGCCCUUUUGUUGGGAAAGAAAAGCAGCAGGUUAAUACCCCGCUGUUCUGACGGUACCCAAAGAAUAAGCAACGGCUAACUUCGUG